CUACAGCUCCUUCCCCACGGCGGAGCCUGCUGUGGCGCGCAGGCUUGUAACCAUGGCCACCGAUGAAGGCGGAUAAACACUGUAACGAAAGGAGGCAGAGGAGCUACAUUCCCCCCCCCCCCAGAUGUCUGCUAUACAGGACAUAUAUGUUAAAAAUGCAGCUCAAACUCCCGUGUUUGAUGUUGGAUAUGAUGUAACAGGAGUCACACUUUCCAUCAAGUUCUACUUUUGUUUAGAAUAUUUAACACACAGAUCUCGGGGGGUAUUGGAGAUGUUCUGGCAAACGUGAGCUGAAUCUUUGUGUUCUGUCACCAGAGGUUUUCGUCAGCUGGGGAUAGAUAGAGGCCUGCAGUGCCUUAGAUGUUGCUUUGUGUGUUUCUGUGACUUCCUGGAUGAUUUCCACACUGUUGGAGAAAAUUUGAAUGGUGAAGCCUAACAAUUUCCGAGGGAGCAGGUGACCACUGAAGAGAACCGCAUUGGUGACAAUGUUAACGGUGAUUAAUUCAGAUGAUGCGUGAAAAAUUGAAAGUUGGUUAAAAGCAGCUUUAAGAGGAAUCAAGUAGGCAUCUGUAGGAGGCUUGAACAAUGUAAUUUGCAGCCGAGAGAGCAGCUUGAUUAGCUGAUGUACUGAUCUGAGGCCUUGAAAUUGCUUAGCUUGCCUAACCUCUGUAAAAUCAAAUCACAGAUCAGUGUAUGCAGAAGCACACCAGAUUACUCACUGUACUUUGUGACCAAAAACUGUCCAAGCUUGCUACGUGAUAAGAAAAAAAUAGUUAAUGUGUGUAAAAAUAAAGCCAUAUUUCAUCUACAUCACAUUAAAAAAAAGGUAAUGAGUAUAUUAUUAGGAUUGUCUUCCCUUCUAUUUUUCACGGAUUCUGUGACUUUUCUCUUCAGGAAUUAUUGGAUAAUCUAUAUACAUCCAUUUAUCUUAAUUUGAAACGUAUUUUACUAGGCCACUUGGAAGUAAGUGAUUCGCAGUGAAAUUAUUAAACCUCCACUUGUUUGUUCUCAGCCGCCUCUAACAUCAAAUCAUGCUUUUGUUUCUCCACAACUUGAAAAAAAAAUGAAUUAGUAAUGCCCCACCAGCACUUUCAGAAACUUGAACACCCUUGAAAACACCCACAGCCUGAAUGCAAUACAGAAUUAGAAUAAUUUUAACUUGAUACUAAAAGCAUAAAAGUACAGCGUACAGCGUGUAUUGCAUGUUACUUUUACGCUACGUGUAACAGGACACACACCUUGGGAGCUUAAAGUUUUUUUCCUUUUUUUUUUUGCCAACAGACGUUUCAGAUUAUCAAGCAAAUUUUAAUAUUGGAAAAAGAAAUAAAAUGUAGUUUUCUGAUUAUAAUUCAUUUUCUAAAUUACGUUAUAUUCAGUUGGAGCAACAAGCCCGGCUACGAAUGCAGCAGUUUUGGGGAAAUGUAGCCAACAAUUUUAAAGAGGAGCUAUAGAUUAAACACUAGCGAAGGACGAACUCGGCUUUUGAUGAACCGUGAGGCCUCAAGUGGAACCAGCUGGGCAUGGUCCAUGGAGACCAGUGCCUGCAAAUAAGCGUCUUACUGCUGUAUGCAAACUGGCGUGAUGCGAAAAAAAAGUGUUUCCAUUGCAUUUUUGCGAAAUCAAUUUCGGCAUAUUCACAUCCUACUGCAAAAACGUAGCAACAUUUCUUUUCUGAAAUAGGUGUUUUUCCAUAAAGUAAAUUUAUUUUCAGAAUUCCAAUGUGCCCAACUUUAUGGUCAAUGGAAUUGCAGCGUUCGAAUCUGGGUACUCUGGCUUCCUACACAGUCCAAAAGUACAACUGCAAGUUUAAUUGGUUUCUUUAAAUUGUUCCAAGGUGUGUGUGUGUGUGUGUGUGUGUGUGCGUGUGUGUGCGUGCGUGCGUGUGUGGCCUGUGAUGAACUGACGACCUCUCCAGGGUGUGCGCCACCUCUUGAUCUGGACAGAGCACCAGGUCUAUACCCACAUGGACAAGCAGGUACAGACAAUGGAUGAAUGGACUCUAGGUCAGAGCUUUUUUUCUUUUUUUUUUUUUUAGUAAAAAUGCUUUCAAAAAUUAAAAUUCAGAUAUUGAAGUUCCCAACAGAGGAUACAGUUCUUCUCUGCUACUACACCUGUUUGAUGUUAAAUUAUUAUAGGGGUCAUGGAGACGUGUACAGUUUCAUUUAAAUUGUAAAUGCGCACUCAAUUAACGUUUUUUUUCCUUAUGAUCUCAACUCUUAGGCAUAACUGGACAUUUGAAUGUUUCCAAAAACAGACAUAAAGAGCCCCUCUGGUGCAGGCAGUUCAGGUUCAUUCUUGUUUUGAAGAAGAGAGACAAGAGAGCGGCUCACGGUUCAAGGCUGUCUGUGGAAACACAUCAUGAAUAAUGGAAAGGAAGGUGCAUGUGUUGCAGAAGUGUUGUGGUAAAGGGGCUGCUCUCCUCCUGCUUUGUGGCAUUUAAAUGUGUUUAAAGAAAAAUGGACCUGAAGAUCAAACUUUGAGGUUAGAGUUUGAGGUUUAUUAAAACCAUCUUCGCUGGAGAGAAAAACCAAACUGAAAUCCGGUUUUCAGCAUUUCCAUUAGAAAAGACCAGUCCAGUUCACUCAGCUCUCAGAAGCAGUGGCCUCCUGCUGUAACUGGCCUGAAAUCCUCACGACUGAUCUCAAAGUGAUCUGAAAAUAGAUUUUUUGAUUAACAUUUAAUGAGCUCAGAUGCUCUGAAUCACUUUGAAAGUGACUCCUGCAACACGAGAGGCUUAAACACAGGAUAUACUGAUCAUCUUUAAUUUCCCUCUCCGAGUCCAUUCUAACGCACACAAAAACAAUGUGCAGUUAAAAUAUGUU